rnacentral:rRNA from 1 species
AGUGAACGCUGGCGGUAGGCCUAACACAUGCAAGUCGAACGGCAGCACAGUAAGAGCUUGCUCUUACGGGUGGCGAGUGGCGGACGGGUGAGGAAUACAUCGGAAUCUACUUUUUCGUGGGGGAUAACGUAGGGAAACUUACGCUAAUACCGCAUACGACCUACGGGUGAAAGCAGGGGAUCUUCGGACCUUGCGCGAUUGAAUGAGCCGAUGUCGGAUUAGCUAGUUGGCGGGGUAAAGGCCCACCAAGGCGACGAUCCGUAGCUGGUCUGAGAGGAUGAUCAGCCACACUGGAACUGAGACACGGUCCAGACUCCUACGGGAGGCAGCAGUGGGGAAUAUUGGACAAUGGGCGCAAGCCUGAUCCAGCCAUACUGCGUGGGUGAAGAAGUCCUUCGGGUUGUAAAGCCCUUUUGUUGGGAAAGAAAAGCAGCAGGUUAAUACCCCGCUGUUCUGACGGUACCCAAAGAAUAAGCACCGGCUAACUUCGUG